rnacentral:rRNA from 1 species
GAUUUCUGGUUAAGUAACGCUAGCCCGCCCUUGCCAGGGGUGUGCGCUGGUUAGUUGCUUGCCAUCUUUCUAGAAAGCCAGCGUUUGUCAUUCACUUGGCGGACGUGACGCGAUCUAGAUCUUUUACUUUGAAAAAAUUAGAGUGUUUAAAGCAGGCUUACGCUAUGAAUACAUUAGCAUGGAAUAAUAAGAUAGGGCUCCGGCUCAUAUUUUGUUGGUUUCUAGAGCGUGGGAGUAAUGAUUGAUAGGGACAGUUGGGGGUGCUAGUAUUCAGCGGCCAGAGGUGAAAUUCAUGGAUUCGCUGAAGACUGACUUAUGCGAAAGCAUU